rnacentral:rRNA from 1 species
UACGGAGGGUGCAAGCGUUAUCCGGAUUCACUGGGUUUAAAGGGUGCGUAGGAGGGCAGGUAAGUCAGUAGUGAAAUCCCCGAGCUUAACUUGGGAACUGCCGUUGAUACUAUCUGUCCUGAAUACCGUGGAGGUGAGCGGAAUAUGUCAUGUAGCGGUGAAAUGCUUAGAUAUGACAUAGAACACCAAUUGCGAAGGCAGCUCGCUACACGAAUAUUGACUCUGAGGCACGAAAGCGUGGGGAUCAAACAGG